AUCCAGCUGACGAGUCCCACAUAGGACGAAACACGCGUCCUUAAU
rfam:Schistosoma mattheei strain Denwood, Zambia genome assembly, scaffold: SMTD_scaffold0003798